GCAUUUGAUGGAAUCCUCAUCGUGAAAUAAUUAAGAAUAAAAUUCUGAAAACGCUAUUUGUUAUGUAGAUAGUAGAUAUCAGUUUUACACAAUACAGUAGGCAGAAAAUAAAAUAAUAAGAAAAAUUAGAUACUGAGGUAUUUGAUGUUAUUUUUUGGAAAUACAAAUAUUUCUUGAUAAUUGGACACGUGCAUAUAAUUUCAUUCCAAAUUAAAUGUUGUGUAAAUGCUUUAUAUGUACAGAAUGUAUGUGAAAUACACAGUAUGUAUACAGAAUGUAUGCAAUAUAAACAGGACAGAAAAUUAGAGAGC